UUGCUCCUACGGGAGGCAGCAGUGGGGAAUAUUGCACAAUGGGGGAAACCCUGAUGCAGCAACGCCGCGUGAGUGAAGAAGUCAUUCGUGAUGUAAAGCUCUAUCAGCAGGGAAGAAAAUGACGGUACCUGACUAAGAAGCCCCGGCUAACUACGUGCCAGCAGCCGCGGUAAUACGUAGGGGGCAAGCGUUAUCCGGAUUUACUGGGUGUAAAGGGAGCGUAGACGGCGACGCAAGUCUGAAGUGAAAUGCCAGUGCUCAACACUGGAACUGCUUUGGAAACUGUGAAGCUAGAGUGCAGGAGG
rnacentral:rRNA from 1 species